CCAACAGGGAUUGCCCUAGUAACGGCGAGUGAAGCGGCAACAGCUCAAAUUUGAAAUCUGGCCCUUGGGUCCGAAUUGUAAUUUGUAGAGGAUGUUUUUGGUGCGGUAUCUUCCGAGUUCCUUGGAACAGGACGCCUUAGAGGGUGAGAGCCCCGUACGGUUGACUACCUAGCCUUUGUAAAACUCCUUCGACGAGUCGAGUAGUUUGGGAAUGCUGCUCUAAAUGGGAGGUAAAUUUCUUCUAAAGCUAAAUACUGGCCAGAGACCGAUAGCGCACAAGUAGAGUGAUCGAAAGAUGAAAAGCACUUUGAAAAGAGGGUUAAAUAGCACGUGAAAUUGUUGAAAGGGAAGGAUUUAUGACCAGACUUUUUCUGGGCGGAUCAUCCGGUGUUCUCACCGGUGCACUUCGCUCAGUUUAGGCCAGCAUCGAUUUUCGGUGGGGGAUAAAAGCUUUAGGAAUGUGGCUCCUCCGGGAGUGUUAUAGCCUAUUGUAUAAUACCCUACUGGGGAUCGAGGUACGCGCUUCUGCAAGGAUGCUGGCGUAAUGGUUAUCAAUCACCCGUCUUGAAACACGGACCAAGGAGUCGAACAUUUGUGCAAGUGUUUGGGUGUUAAACCCUCACGCGUAAUGAAAGUGAACGGAGGUGAGAGCCCUUACGGGUGCAUCAUCGACCGAUCCUGAUGUUUUCGGAUGGAUUUGAGUAAGAGCAUAACUGUUCGGACCCGAAAGAUGGUGAACUAUGCGUGGAUAGGGUGAAGCCAGAGGAAACUCUGGUGGAGGCUCGCAGCGGUUCUGACGUGCAAAUCGAUCGUCAAAUCUGCGCAUGGGGGCGAAAGACUAAUCGAACCAU
rnacentral:rRNA from 1 species